CAAGAGCUAUUCUUGAGGUUUGGCCUGUGGCCCUGCACCAUUUCUCGAGUAUCUUCUGUUCUGAGUUGGAAACUGUGCUUCUCACCACGUAAUUCAGCCAUCAGUGCUUUCUGUACCCUGUAUAGCCGAUGCAAUUCAUGCACCUGACGCAAGAAAAGGAGGAAUGUAAAACUCUGAGUUGCAGAAUGACAAAGACAAUCACAGAACAGUAGUAGUUGAUUUUCAGAUGAAUGACUGUGCAGGUUAACAGCACCAUGCACUGCAUUAUAUCAUGAAGGGCAAAGAGGAUUCUAUGAGUACGAAACAAAUCAGUAGCCAUUCCUGAAACAGUCAGAGGGAAAGGUCAGGCUCGUCACCAGUAUUGUCUGCAUGGGAUAGAGGGAAAUCAGCCGAUGCUGGAUGCUGGGCCAACACAGCGUCGCGAAAUCAAACGUAGAGCAGCAAUUCACAUGAAGAUUCACUCACCUGAAAAUCGGCGACUCAUGCUGCGGCUGCUUAUCUCGC